rnacentral:rRNA from 1 species
UACGUAGGGGGCAAGCGUUGUCCGGAAUCAUUGGGCGUAAAGCGCGCGUAGGCGGCUCGAUCAGUCUGCUGUGAAAGUCAAAGGCUCAACCUUUGAAUGCCGGUGGAUACUGUCGAGCUAGAGUCCGGAAGAGGCGGGUGGAAUUCCUGGUGUAGCGGUGGAAUGCGCAGAUAUCAGGAGGAACACCGGUGGCGAAGGCGACAUCCUGGACCAAUACUGACGCUGAGUGAGCGAAAGCCAGGGGAGCAAACGGG